rnacentral:rRNA from 1 species
CCUACGGGAGGCAGCAGUGGGGAAUAUUGGACAAUGGGGGGAACCCUGAUCCAGCGACGCCGCGUGAGUGAAGAAGUCUUUCGGUAUGUAAAGCUCUAUCAGCAGGGAAGAAAAAGACGGUACCUGACUAAGAAUCCCCGGCUAACUACGUGCCAGCAGCCGCGGUAAUACGUAGGGGGCAAGCGUUAUCCGGAUUUACUGGGUGUAAAGGGAGCGUAGUCGGUGAAGCAAGUCUGAUGUGAAAGGUCGGGGCUCAACCCCGGGACUGCAUUGGAAACUGUUGAACUUGAGUACAGGAGAGGUAAGCGGAAUUCCGAGUGUAGCGGUGAAAUGCGUAGAUAUUAGGAGGAACACCAGUGGCGAAGGCGGCUUGCUGGACUGUAACUGACGUUGAGGCUCGAAAGCGUGGGGAGCAAACAGGAUUAGAUACCCUAGUAGUC